rnacentral:misc_RNA from 1 species
GAUGAAGAACGUAGCAAAAUGCGAUAAGUAAUGUGAAUUGCAGAAUUCAGUGAAUCAUCGAAUCUUUGAACGCACAUUGCGCCCGCUGGUAUUCCGGCGGGCAUGCCUGUUCGAGCGUCAUUUCAACCCUCAAGCACAGCUUGGUGUUGGGACUCGCGUUAAUUCGCGUUCCUCAAAUUGAUUGGCGGUCACGUCGAGCUUCCAUAGCGUAGUAGUAAAACCCUCGUUACUGGUAAUCGUCGCGGCCACGCCGUUAAACCCCAACUUCUGAAUGUUGACCUCGGAUCAGGUAGGAAUACCCGCUGAACUUAAGCAUAUCAAUAAGCGGAGGA